rnacentral:rRNA from 1 species
GAUGAACGCUGGCGGCGUGCCUAACACAUGCAGGUCGAACGAAGCGCCUUACCGGAUUCUUCGGAUGAAGGUCUGGUGACUGAGUGGCGGACGGGUGAGUAACGCGUGGGUAACCUGCCCUGUACAGGGGGAUAACAGCUGGAAACGGCUGCUAAUACCGCAUAAGCGCACGAGGAGACAUCUCCUUGUGUGAAAAACUCCGGUGGUACAGGAUGGGCCCGCGUCUGAUUAGCUGGUUGGCAGGGUAACGGCCUACCAAGGCAACGAUCAGUAGCCGGUCUGAGAGGAUGAACGGCCACAUUGGAACUGAGACACGGUCCAAACUCCUACGGGAGGCAGCAGUGGGGAAUAUUGCACAAUGGGGGAAACCCUGAUGCAGCAACGCCGCGUGAGUGAAGAAGUAUUUCGGUAUGUAAAGCUCUAUCAGCAGGGAAGAUAAUGACGGUACCUGACUAAGAAGCGCCGGCUAAAUACGUG